rnacentral:rRNA from 1 species
CGGAGGGUGCAAGCGUUGCUCGGAAUUAUUGGGCGUAAAGGGUAGGUAGGUGGUCUCAUUUGUCAGGGGUGAAAGCCUUGGGCUUAACCCAAGAAGUGCCCCUGAAACGGUGAGACUGGGGUCCUGGAGAGGGUCGUGGAAUUCCCGGUGUAGCGGUGAAAUGCGUAGAGAUCGGGAGGAACACCAGAGGCGAAGGCGGCGACCUGGACAGGUACUGACACUCAACUACGAAAGCGUGGGGAGCAAACAGGAUUAGAUACCCUGGUAGUCCACGCUGUAAACGAUGGGUACUAGGUUUGGUAGGUCUUGACCCCUGCCGAGCCGGAGCUAACGCAAUAAGUACCCCGCCUGGGAAGUACGGUCGCAAGACUA